UUCUUCAGUUAUGGAAUGUUUUAUCCUAGCAAAUUGUUGAGGUGUGUGCGCUAUUUAUCAAAGACUACAUGCUGGCCUCGUCAACAAUGUUCAAAGUGAGCGACGGAAAGAAAACGUUUUUCAGUUUUAAAAUAUUAAGCGUUCAGCACAACACUGCCACAAACCAACGCACUGGAUUAAGCCAAGAACCUGUCGAAACGCGCGCAGCCCAGCGUCAUUACUUAACAGAAGCUGGUUCAAAACGCGCAGCUCCUGUUCAUGACGUCAUCACUAAACUGAAGCCAGUGGAACACGCGCAGCACGGAUGGUAC